CAGAAAGUAGUUUAAUUAAAAUAAUAAUUUUGGAGAUUAUUGAUAAAGUUAUUUACUUUUUUUCUGA
rnacentral:tRNA from 2 species